AUAAUAACAAUAACAAUAACAAUAACAAUAAGAACAAUAAGAACAACACCAAUAAUAAAAUAAUAAUAAUUUUAUAAGGGCAAACUUUCUAUACUUCCCCUACUAUAAAAAGUUUAUAUAUAUUUCUCCCUAUCCAACAAUCGAUUCCGAAUGGAUAGCUGAGAUGGCCGCAAUCGCAAUGUCACGCCUCUAUACUAUUUUAUUUUUGAUUUUUUUUUCUAUAGAGCAUUUUGACACCAAAUUUUGGGCAUCCACUCUUCUUUUAAAC
rnacentral:lncRNA from 1 species